GACGAACGCUGGCGGCGUGCUUAACACAUGCAAGUCGAACGGAAAGGCCCUGCUUUUGUGGGGUGCUCGAGUGGCGAACGGGUGAGUAACACGUGAGUAACCUGCCCUUGACUUUGGGAUAACUUCAGGAAACUGGGGCUAAUACCGGAUAGGAGCUCCUGCUGCAUGGUGGGGUUGGAAAGUUUCGGCGGUUGGGGAUGGACUCGCGGCUUAUCAGCUUGUUGGUGGGGUAGUGGCUUACCAAGGCUUUGACGGGUAGCCGGCCUGAGAGGGUGACCGGCCACAUUGGGACUGAGAUACGGCCCAGACUCCUACGGGAGGCAGCAGUGGGGAAUAUUGCACAAUGGGCGGAAGCCUGAUGCAGCAACGCCGCGUGCGGGAUGACGGCCUUCGGGUUGUAAACCGCUUUCGCCUGUGACGAAGCGUGAGUGACGGUAAUGGGUAAAGAAGCACCGGCUAACUACGUGCCAGCAGCCGCGGUGAUACGUAGGGUGCGAGCGUUGUCCGGAUUUAUUGGGCGUAAAGGGCUCGUAGGUGGUUGAUCGCGUCGGAAGUGUAAUCUUGGGGCUUAACCCUGAGCGUGCUUUCGAUACGGGUUGACUUGAGGAAGGUAGGGGAGAAUGGAAUUCCUGGUGGAGCGGUGGAAUGCGCAGAUAUCAGGAGGAACACCAGUGGCGAAGGCGGUUCUCUGGGCCUUUCCUGACGCUGAGGAGCGAAAGCGUGGGGAGCGAACAGGCUUAGAUACCCUGGUAGUCCACGCUGUAAACGGUGGGUACUAGGUGUGGGGUCCAUUCCACGGGUUCCGUGCCGUAGCUAACGCUUUAAGUACCCCGCCUGGGGAGUACGGCCGCAAGGCUAAAACUCAAAGGAAUUGACGGGGCCCCGCACAAGCGGCGGAGCAUGCGGAUUAAUUCGAUGCAACGCGUAGAACCUUACCUGGGUUUGACAUGGAUCGGGAGUGCUCAGAGAUGGGUGUGCCUCUUUUGGGGUCGGUUCACAGGUGGUGCAUGGCUGUCGUCAGCUCGUGUCGUGAGAUGUUGGGUUAAGUCCCGCAACGAGCGCAACCCUUGUUCACUGUUGCCAGCACGUUAUGGUGGGGACUCAGUGGAGACCGCCGGGGUCAACUCGGAGGAAGGUGGGGAUGACGUCAAGUCAUCAUGCCCCUUAUGUCCAGGGCUUCACGCAUGCUACAAUGGCUGGUACAGAGAGUGGCGAGCCUGUGAGGGUGAGCGAAUCUCGGAAAGUCGGUCUCAGUUCGGAUUGGGGUCUGCAACUCGACCUCAUGAAGUCGGAGUCGCUAGUAAUCGCAGAUCAGCAACGCUGCGGUGAAUACGUUCCCGGGGCU
rnacentral:rRNA from 1 species